rnacentral:lncRNA from 1 species
UAAAGGAGUAUAGAGUGAAGAACCGAUCAGCUGCAGCGAGGCAUGUAAGCUACAGAGCUAAAACCAGGUUUGCCUCGGCGCCAACCGUGUGUUUGGCCUGUUCAUGGUCCUUGCGGUAGUUUCCUCCCCCUGCUUGCUUGGUCCAGGUGCCACGGUAGAGAAUGUGUUGCGAAUGUGCUCGAGCCUGCUGACCUUUCCCUGUACUGGGGUGUGGAUUUGCCCAUGCCCCGAGUUUGUCCCGUGUAUGAACAAAACAUGUGUGGUCUUGGUUUGGUUUGUGAUCUAGUUUUCUCAAUCGUUCAUAUCGCAGACCGUUGUCCUGUUCAUGUGCAAUCUAACAGUCGACAAACCCUCCAAUGAAGAGGAUAAUUUGGCUUCGCUUGUACAGCUUGCGAAAUUUAAUAGAGCACGUUAGUGUAUCCUGCCUGGUCAAAUUUUAAAUUUGUUUGGUAGUCUGUUCGUAUUUUUCGUUGCACCAUGACAAAUCCCUUGCAUUUUCAAAGCUUUUAUGGUCUCUUUGUUUGUUUGUUUUUUGCAUUUGCAUUUGCUAUUGGUGAGUUUGCCUGAAAAUUGAAAUGGUGCAGUCAAUUUUUAGUCCAUUCGAUCCGAAAAAGGAUUGGGGUUCCACUGUCAAAUGAUAAUUGUGCAAGUCCAAGGAUAUUGCACCCCUCAUUCACACCCCGUCCUCAUGGAAAAAUUGCAAGGUGCAUGAGGCUAAGAAAAAUGCUUGGAUCUAUAAAAUUAAGCGCUCCCAAGGAAAAUGCUUGGAUCUAUAAAAUUAAGCUUUCCCAUGAUUUCUCCUGGGCUCAUAUCGGUGAGUUCGUUGACCUUGACCUCACCGAGGAUGACAUUGUUUGAAAGCAUACAAAUGAUGAUCUUUACACAGCGACUGCUGCACAUAAACCGCAAUUCUCGGUAACCAUCUUAUCCCCUAUGGAGCACACGGUUUGAAAGCUUGGGCCCCUCCCAAGGUCGAUUUUUUGUGUGGCUAGCUAUUAAGUAAGGGGUUGGAUUGCCGACCGCUUGGCCAAGCGUGGAUAGCCAAAUUGCAGCCCUUGUCCGCUUUGUAAAAGGAAGGUUAAAUCCAGGGCUCACCUCUUUUACAAAUGUCGCUUCGCGCUUUGACUUUGGAGCCCUUUCUUCGACUGGCUUCAUCUUGAGACCUUUGAUACCUUCUUAUGACACUUGUAGCACUAUGUUAAGGAUUCGGUGAAUCAACCUCUCAGACUGAACACCCAAAUAGAAAGGCCAUGGCGUCUCUUGCAAUGCUUGUGUGUUGGAAAAUUUCUCAAAUAGAAAGGCCAUGACGUCUCUUACAAUGCUUGUGUGUUGGACAAUUUCCCAAAUAGAAAGGCCAUGCAGUCUCUUACAAUGUUUGUGUGUGAACAAUUUGGAACGAGGCCAAGCUCUGAGUCACUGCAGGUGCCAAAAAAUUAGGAUCAAUAAUGCCCGAAGAGCAAUCAUUUUAUCUUGUAAGGCUGGUCUCCUCUUAAUUAAUAGAUGAGACAAAACUUAUGCAUCCAUUUAAUAAAAAUGAUAAUUGAUGCAAGUCGAUUAUUUGGGAGAAGAAAAAGAAGGAAAGCUCUGCCCUGAGGCCGAGCCGGGGUCAAGCACUAGCCAGAGAUAGGCAGAGCCUUGACAUGGGCGAAGAAAAAGGAGGAAAACUCUAUUCUCCUUUUUGAAGCAUAUAUUUUGUUUUAAUUGCCCAGACCUUCACAAAUGCCAUUCCAUCACAAAUUUGUGCACAGCUGAAACAUUCAUCAAUGUUUAUCUUAAUUUUUGUUUCAGAUUUUUGUUUUUUUUGUUGUUAUUUCCCCCUCCAGUUUUUACUGUUCAUCUGGGAGCAUGUGAGCUCAUGAAGUUUUGCAUGAGUUGAAAACCUCUCGCUCUGAAGGAAUUAUGCUUCAGUUGGACUUUGAAAAAGCUGAGACUAGAAACUUGAUGUCCCUGGCACAUAUUUCUUUUCCAGGGAACUUACCAACAGUGGCUCCUUUAUUUCCCCCCGUAUUUCUUUCUGUUUCUUUUGCAGGGAACUUACCAACAGUCGCACAUCGAAGGAAUGCUUCACACAAAGCAGGUAAAAAAAGAAGAAACAAACGAAUCACAGUGUUCAGCAAGAUACAAACCGAUCCCAAAAAAAGAAAGAACCGGUAACUAUCCGGUAAACACAUUUUACACGAGGCGCAGCAGCCUGAACCAUCAACCUGCUGCCUCUCAAGACGAAUGAACUAACGGCAGUAGUACUAGAUUUAGUACAGUAAGUAUCACACCAUCACCAUCACUCUAACCUACGACUCCCUCCGGGACCCGAGUCACCUGACGUACGUACGUGUUAGCUGGCUGCUUCAGUGUGUCUCGCUCGCUGCUACAGAUACUGCGUGUGUAUCCGGUCCCGGUUCUGCUCCCACCACACCUUGGCCCGCUCCUCGCCGAACCGCUCCCGGCUGCAACCACACAACACCAUCGGUCGGUUAGUCGAGUUCACGUGAGCGCGCGAGAUUCGGCAACAGCAAAGGUGAUGGUCGGCCAGCGGUGGGCGUGCCUGAAGCGGACGCGGCGGAGCUCGCGGGUGCCGUCGCCGAGCUCGCGGAUGGUGAUGUGCACGCCGGGCUCGUCCUGCUCCACCCACUCCGUCGCCUCCAGGUCGCUCGCAUUGCUCACCGACACGGACGCCUCGUCCAGCGACGACGUGGUGGCGCGCGACGGGUCGUAGGGCGGCGGGGCGCCCGCGCUCAACGGCAUCGACGACGCGCCCGCGGCCGAGUUGAGCAUGUUGAAGUGGUGCGCCCACACGUGGUCGGACGGGUCCGGCACGGCCGUGGACGGGUGGCACGCCGCCUUGUACGACGUGGUCCGGGUGAUGGGCCGCUCCCUGCUCGCCGCCGUCGCGGACGGCGGCAGCACCACCGGGCUCUCCCUCGUCGAGCCGGCGCGGGAGUAGAAUGACUCUCUCUGCUCGCAAUGCAAACCCACGGUUUCAAAUGAUGGUCAGCACGCCGAUGAGACGAGAGGACGACGUAAAAAGAUAUGGCUGCAGGCGACUGACCUGCAUGGCGUCGUCGAUGGAGGACGACGGCGUCGAGAGGCCCUGCUGCCGGAACGUCUGCACGUUGUACAGCUCCACCACGCGGUCGUAGUUCUCGCCCCACCACCGCUGCGCCUCCCACUUGUUGAACAUCUCCCGGCUGCAAAUUUUUGAUGUUGCUUCAUCAGUUCAUCAUUAUCACUCAGUCUCUACUCACGAUACCGGCAUCGAAGCAUCGAUCGAUCGGCACAAACCUGAAGCGGAUGCGCUUUAGGUCGUUGCCGGCGCCGCCGGGGAUGGAGACGAAAGUGAUGUGCACGCCGGGCUCCACCUGCGCGGUCCACUCCCUCGGCACGCGGUCUUCCUCCAGGACGACGGUCUCCUCAUCGUCUUCUUCGUCCUCCUCGGCCUCCUCCCCGAUGCUCGGUAUCCAGCUCGCGCUCGGGUUCCUCCCGUGCGGCUGGAAGCCAUUGUUGAUCUUGGGCAUGUCCCACGUUGUCGACGGGGCGGUCGCGCUCGACGUUGUUCUCGUGUAGCUGUACGCCUCGCCGGCCCCGUCGGACGUGAAGCCCGAGUCGUCGAUGAUGCCCGGGUACGCGGCCAACCGACUGGAGCGGUGGAAGCGGUUGCCCCUGAAGGAUGGGCUACCGGUGGCCUUGUAGUGCUUGCCGGAGCCGGAGAACUUGAGCACCAUGUCCUUGAGCUGGAAGCACAUUUGCAGGAGCUCAGUCAGUCAGUCAGUCAGAUCACCAAUUAAUGUAAUGUAAUAUACUCAUAGCAGAGAACACAAAAUAUCAAAUGUGACUCGCAUUAGUAGCAGCAUAUACUGGUAUACAAGCGAAGGGAACAUAUUAAUUAAUAAUCAAUUAAAAUGCUUGAUUAGGACCCAACAAAAGAACGGCCCAAAGGAACGCCACGUUAGCUUGCCGGGGUGUAGGUGUAGCUGAAUAUUCAGACACACAUUUCUUCCAACAACAUCUGUGUAUCAGUGUCACGAAUCUAUUCCCCCCCGCAAUCAAACGUCUCACUCCAGUGUGAUACCAUCCAUCACAGUUUUUUUUUUUUGAGAAUCCCAUCCAUCACAGUUAGUAGUACUACUUUUAUUCUUCAUUCUGAAAAAGUUCUCGGGAGAGAGGUACAAGCUCCGUGUUCAUUUGCUAGUUACAGUUAGUCACCGCCACCACCAAUACUAUUCCCUCCGUCCCAAAAUUCUUGUCUUGUAUCUUGGCAAAUCUAAGACAAGAAUUUUGUGACGGAGGGAGUACAUCCAAAAUGGACGGCUCCGCCUGACUCAAGAACCACAGGGUGGAAUCAUCAUGAUUACUUUUAGGUCUAGAUAGAAUGUGCCCUAAUUUUGUUCGCGAGAUCAAGCAUCAAGAGCCUAGUGCGCGAUAAUUAAGUCUUUAAGCAAAGCUUCAAUGAUAACAGCGGGUGUUUAAUGAUAGAUGCUGUUGUAACUAGUAGUAGUAGGAACUAACCAGGCAGCACAUUUUUGCCUAGCAGAAGCCUAGAAAGCACAAAGGAACCAAAGGCCAAGCGCACCACCGUGUCCUAAUUAGUCCAGCGAGGACAUCUUUGGUCUGAAGCAAGGAACAAAUAAGCACUUGCGUACUAGUACUCCAACACAAAACGGUGCCGUUCAUGAUCAGCCAGAGGGGAGGCUGCCAUAAUGCAUGCCGCGUGUUGCUUAAGAUCUGUACUUAAAGAUUGCAAAAGCCAAAGCGUGCAGGAAGCCAAGGUGUAAGGAAAGGACAGUGGUAAACACUCGAGGCUUGCCAUGAUAAGGCAGAGAUGGUUGGAUGGUGCAGGGAGAAAGAGGCCCGGGCUGGGCCUAGCUUAGCCAAGCCCAUGUAAGGACCACGGAAUGAGUGCUACUACUACGGGCUACGGCCCACCUUUAUUCCUUGCGUGAGCAGCAACAUACACAUUUGGAACUCAUAUUAAAGAAAAGAUAGAGUAUUAUAGUAUUGGCUUGGAAGAGUAAAGCGGAGGGUUAAAUCAAACAAAGAGCGUCUUUCCAGGAUGGAAAGACCCACAUUAGCAUCUUCCAUAAUGUGUGGUUCGCCAUACCUUUCUUUGGAGCAAAGAGGACGGACGAACAAACAAUGGUGGCAAGUGCGAAAGGCGGAGAGGGGAAUGUGGGGAACAAAAGCGACGAGAACAAAUAACAUCCUUGUGCACAGCGUCCCAAGCAGCUUGGGAGUUGCGGGGAUCGAUCUACUAGGAAAAGCAAGCGCUCAUAUUCCCCUGGGCCUUGACCAACUUUGCCCAAGAAUGUUUGGAAAUGUGAGGGCACUGUCACCCAUCAUGCACUGCUACUCCCACUUGGAAACCGUUCUCCCGCUUUUCAUUUCAAAACUAGACUGGAAUGCUGUGUAGUGUACUGUCGUGCUCCCUCGUGUUCUUUUUUCAAAUGUCAGGGACAUGCAUGGUGACGGCGAGUAGUUGCAGAGGGCAUUCAAAUCGACUGAUCAAUGCAUCUAGUACGUGGUACUCUCUGUACUCGGCGGCCAAGUACGGGCAGAAAAAGCAGAAACCAUGCUGAGCGCUAGCUUAUAGCUGUUCUUCCUCGGGAUACUGUGUUUAUUUGUUGGGAUGCAGUAGCAAAACACUAAGUGAGUAGGUAAAGAUGCAGAUGGUAGGAAGCACGGGAGCACGACAGGCAUACCUGUGAGGUGAGAGACUUGCCGGCGUCCCUGCUGUUGGGUGCGCCGACAGCACGGGAGCCGUCCUCUCCACCGUCCUUGGUCGAGCAGGCGAUGCAUGCCAGCAUCUUCGCUUCUUUCUUUCACGCCCGCCGGCCACUCGAUCGCUUGCUUCUCCCCUGCUCUGCUUAGGUAGACCAGAUCACACUGCAUCGCACGUACAUAAAACGAUUGUUGAUUCGAUACUUAUCUUGAGUGACACCAAGCUUCACGCAAGGGAAAAUGCAACUGAAAUGCACAACGAGUGGUUAAGAAGCUCCAGUGCAGCCACCGGCAUGUGUAAAGGUUCUCGUCUCGGAUGAAAUGAAUAUUUCUGCAUCGAACUUGUACGUGGCACCAGGCCCGUACGAGAAGCACAUGAGCAGGGCCAUGCACGUUUGGGCGAGCGCGUGGCCGGCAUAAAUUCCUGGUCAGUCAGUCAGUCAGUGCCGGCGACGUGCGCUCGCCGGCCACCCUAAGCCUAAUGCAUGCCGCUCUGGCCUCUGCCGCAGCCUUUGGGGCCUCCUUAAACGCGCGCACGCGGACGGACAGCAACCGCACGUCGCGCGCGGGCAGCCACAGCCAUCGCCGCCGUACGGGCGAGGGCGGGCGGGCACCCGCAGUGCCGAUCGGGAGAGCGCAAGCGCGCGCGACGGGCCCCAUGCAUGUGUGCACGCGCCGGGGUGGGCGCCCGGGCCUAGCAGCUAGCUAGCUCCGUUCGUCCAUGUCCGCUCUGGCUGCAGGGCACUGUCACUAUGCCAUGUCUGUCUCGUGGAGCUGCCCCGCUAGGCCCUGCGCGGUAGGGGCACCACGGAGCAAGGAACCGAGUCAAUGCGGCAGCGUAGGAGGCUGCUCUGCACCAGAGGCUAUGGACAGACAGAGAGCAGAGGCGUGUGGUGUAGGCCGGUAGGCUGAUUGCAUGCAUGGAUCGGUGCAAGGAUGAUGAUGAUGAUAGGGCGCUACCGGAUCGCUGGUGGAUGCUGCGCGGUGCUAGCCACCGGUGGGAUCGGCGGGCUGGAGGACGGGUAGGCUCGGUAGAGUAUUCAUUCAAGUUCUACGGCGAAUUUAUCCGCGCUGCUGGAGACUGCCGCAAGUACAGCGUGCGCAGAGAAGGUUCUGCGUAGAUCUUGUGUAAGUGUAUCAUCGCUGUCUAAAGACCACGGAAUUAAUUCUCGCAAAAAAAAAAGAACAGUAACAAUAAAUUAACAGUGGUACAACUACAGCCCGCCCUCUCUGUAUCUUGAUCCCUGUCGCUCCUCUGUCUGCUUGAGAGAGGCGAGGCGAACAAGGAACCUGAUGGAUGCACAUAUUGCCUGGAUAGGCCCAUGAGGCCCUUUAAGGCCCAGGGCCCUGAGGAGGUUCUCAGUCACCGGCAGUGGACCCCGCUAGGAAAAUCGAAAUGCAAGCCAACAUCACAAAUCCAACGUCGCCACUGCCCCCGCUAGCUAACAUAACAGUGUCACGCAGAGAUUUAACACCAGCUAUUGAGCUGUUUCUUUCCCUUGUAAGCAGAAGCUGAUAUACGAGUCAUGAACGGAUAUGCAUAAUGACAAAUGAAGGCAGCACACUUACCAGUUCUGCAAACGUCCCGAUCACAGCAGCAAUUCUGGCCACGCGGCAAUAGUGGUGGCGUCCGUAUCUCCCCUCGCUCACUGCUGCAUCCUUUUUUGAAUGGUCAUCUCACUGCUGCUUCUGACGUCGAAAUGAUCUGAAGAUUGAACAGGGAGAGGAAGAGGAUUAUACUCCACUUAGUAUGAUGAUGAUGCAAGUGGGCGACUCAAUGCGAAGUUUCGGUGUGCAAAUCAACACGAGCCAGCCCAAAGAAGCGGAGGAGGAGGAGCACUCAUUGGUGUGAGAGGGCGUCCACGCCACGGGAAAAAGGCAACAGUGGGAAACAAUGGGAUUGCCCCCCGAAUGGAUGGACCCAGGAGAGGCUGGAAGAUCUCAAUGAUCAACGCCGCAACGAACUCGAUGGCGCCCAGUAAAAAGAGAGAAGGCAGACCAAAAUGUCCUAGAAAAAGAAAGAAAACAGAGCCCGAAUGCGAAGAAGAUCUUCUUGGGGAAGGAAGAAGAAACAAGAACUUGGGAGGAGUACCUUCUUCUUUCCUCUUCUUGGCCGCUGCCUCCGCUCUGCUCCUCUGGUGAAAUGCCCGGUGGAGCAGACUGCAGACAGAUCCUCGUAGUCGCGCGCGCGGCGGCGGCGGAGCCGGGGCAGGAUCACCGCGGAAACGACACCGCGCGGCAGAGCUAUCGGCUGACGCAGGCUACGCAGCCCUCUCGAGCAACUGACGAGGAGGGAGUUUAUUUUCUGUCUUCUUUUUUUUUCGCGAGAGGAGAGCAGAGGAGGGAGGGAGGAAGCAGAGAGGGGCUGGUGGGGGCGGGGGUGGGACGGGAUCCCCGGAUUCGCUCCCGGCCGUCUGAUCCGCCCUGGAAAUCGAGCGAAUGCCGCUGCCAAAGCACGCGCACGCCGACCCAGCGGUGUGCCUCCCCGAGUAUUUAGGGGCUGUUUGGAUGACUACCAAUAGUUGCCUUACCAAAAUAUUGGUCACGCCCGACCCUUUUGGCCUCCACCUGGAUCACGACCAAUUUUGGCUCGCCCCAGCGCGCCCGCGCCCAUUUUCGCCAAAUCGCGGGCGAAACGGCGGCGCGGAAAUCGGCCGCCAAAAAAUUGGCAGCGCGCGAACUGGGCAUUGAGUAUAAAAGGUAGGCAGCGAAAUUUCCUCGUCGGUUCCUUCACUUUCCUCUUUUCAUCCCAGGCAAACACACAGGAGCGAGUGGAGGGCAAGAUCUGCAGCUAUCGCCAAGGCCGCCGGAUUCCUGCGACAAUACGAGCUUCUCCGGCCGCUGCCGGCGUUCCUCUGUCUCUCGUUCUCAUCUCUCAAUCCACCCACGGUCAGCAGCUCAACUCCCCUUCAAUCCCACCCCGAUCCCCUUUUCUCUUGGCAUGAUUUGCUUCAAUCCGACCUUUUUAAUUGGUGAUAUGCUGCACGUACGUAUAUACUUGCCAGAUCUAAGUACUUGCCUGCCAAAUCCAUGCCCUUUGCCCCUGCUCCCAGUCUUAGAUCUCCAUAUGCAGCAUCCGUGAAGUUAUAAGGCAGCCAAGACACUAGAAAUUAGACAUGAGAAGGAUAUUUGACACAGAGCUAGUUAUGAGUCCAUAUGACCUCUGUUUUUAGAACAUUGUUGUCCAUAAAUUUCUUAGGAGCCGGCUGGACAUAUAUGCUUAAUUGUUGAUUGGGACUUAUUAUCUCUGUCUCUUAUUUCUGAUUCACAAAUAGUCAAGCACAUAUCUGUAUUUUUUGUUAAUGAUUUAGGUGGAUCUUUUUAUAAGUUACUCAUCACUAUUAUUAGUUAUAAGCAGCUCUGAUUUUGUACAAUGUAAAUAUGAUUUAGAUCAUUCAUAUUAACGUACUUGUUAUAUUGACCCAGAUGGACUUGGAUCAGCAAAAAUAUUAUUAUCUCACCAUGUUGUGGCGGAGAACUCUGUCUGUCAUUGUUCUUCUCUUGGCUCUUUGGUAUAGAAACAAAGAUGGUAGAAAAUUUAGAAGUGGAGGAAGAAAGUAUGGUCCACUAGUUGAGAGAGACAUCUACAGGACUAAUGUCCUGGUUAGGCUAAUUGACACAUCCGAUGCAAUAUGUAUCAAGCAACUGCGGAUGUCUCGAGCUGUGUUUUACAAGCUAUGCAUUAGGCUCAGGCAGAAAAAGUUGUUAAUUGAUACACUACAUGUUUCAGUAGAGGAACAAGUAGCAAUGUUCCUAUACAUGAUCGGUCAGCAUCACACAAAUUCAUCCAUUGGAUUUUGGUUCUGGCGAUCUAGUGAGACAGUGAGCAGAUAUUUCAAUAUUGUUCUUCGUGCGAUGGGGGAGUUAGCUCGUGAUCUCAUUUACAUUAGAUCAACGGACACACACACAAAAAUCACUAGCAGCCCGGACAGAUUCUACCCGUAUUUUGAGGUAACCCUUAGACCGUAGAUUUAUUACUGAUUAUACAAGAUCGACCUAACCCAAGCUUGACAUGAACUCCCCUUUCUCAUAUUCAUAGGGAUGCAUAGGGGCACUAGAUGGCACUCAUGUUAAGGCUUGUGUUCCUGCCCACAUGGUCGACAAGUUUAGGGGCCGCAAGUCAUACCCCUCCCAAAAUGUGCUAGCAGUUGUUGACUUCGACCUUCGAUUCACAUAUGUUCUAGCUGGUUGGGAGGGCUCUGCCCAUGAUUCUCUUGUGCUAAAAGAUGCCCUCACACGUCCAGGGGGAUUAAAAAUACCCGAAGGUACAUAUACAACGUAACAUACAUGUUUGUCACUGUGUUGUGCCAACUUGACUUUAACUCAUUGUUAAUACAACAUGGCUGUAGGGAAAUAUUUCUUGGCUGAUGCUGGGUAUGCUGCGAGGCCAGGGAUAUUGCCUCCUUAUCGUGGUGUGCGCUACCACCUAAACGAAUUUGCUGGAGACCGUGACCCAACUACCCCAAAAGAAUUGUUCAACCACCGCCAUUCAUCACUUAGGACCACAGUUGAACGGGCAUUUGGGACUCUUAAGAGUCGCUUCAAGAUUCUUACUCAAAGGCCCUUCAUACCUUUGAAAUCUCAGAUUAAAGUGGUAGUUGCUUGUUGUGCUUUGCACAAUUGGAUAUUAGAAAAUGGUCCAGAUGAUUAUGUUGUGGAUGAGGCGACAUGGUAUGCCAAUCUCCCUAGGAGUACUGGGCGGGUUCGUGAUCAAGAGGCUGACAUACGUGAGUGGGCUGCCAAGCGAGAUUUAAUCGCUCAGCAAAUGUGGACAGAUAGAGAGAGUGCACGUGACAAUGAGGCUGAUGCUAUCCCAGCUCAGUAUCUUUGAUGUAUUUCCAUGUGAGGGAACAUUUGAAGGAUGUACUGUACCUUUGAUGUAUUUCCAUGUGAGGGAACAUUUGAAGGAUGUACUGUACCUUUGAUGUAUUUCCAUGCGAGGGAAAAAUUGAACGAUGUAGUGUUUCUAUUCUAAUGACUUUGUGUAAAUUAUCGUAUCCUCGUAAUAUUGUUUGACUUAUUUCAAUUUAAUCUGGUCUCUCUGUCCUAUUAAAUAAGUUUAGUUCUGUCCUGUUGUAAGUUGGAUCUGUGAUGUUUCAUGUUCGUAUGCUGACAUUUUUUUGAGGGUUUUUGCUUCCAACUCACUUUCUUAAUAACUAGUUGUUUGCAAUGGUGACCUAUCUGUAGGUCAUGGGGAAGCAUAAGCUCACUCUGAAGACCGAGGAGGACUCCAAUCCUCGUGAUAAGUACAUAACCUGGACUGACGAGGCGACAAGGUUUAUGCUUGAAUGGUAUAUCGACCUUCGUAAGGACAAACCUGCAACUUUCAAGUUCAAGAAACAACACCACUUGCAAUGUGCUGAUGCUCUAAAUGGCAAGUUUUCGCUUGGUGUCACUCAAACCCAAGUGGAUCGACACUAUCGUCAAUGCAAGGAGAAGUGGGGCUGGGUGCGUCGUGCCAUGGCCAAUAGUGGAAAUGGCCUUGACAGAACCACUUUCACAUUCACACUUUCUGAGUCAGAAAAGCAAAGACUCAAUGUAAGUUCUUAGUAGUUUUUUCUCUUAUUUAUAUCAUGGUCUGAUUUUAAAAUGAGUGGAUAGCUGCUAUUGUCUAUAUAUAUGUAUGCUUCAUAUUCACUGUCUCUUGUUGUGUUUUUUUAUACCUGCAACUUCUCUCAUGUUUUGUGUUCAUAAAAUCAUUAUUUUACUCUUUUUACCUUACCUUGUGUGCAGAAAACUGCAGUCAAUUAUCUUACCAGACCCAUUAGGUUCUUUCAUCAAUUGGAAGAGUUAUUCUCGGAUCAAUCUCAUGCUGAUGGCUCACUCGCAGUUGACCAAACCACUGUCAAUGUGGAUGAUGGUAGUGAUGACAGCGAGGAUGUGAGGGAACUUGAGGGAAAUCUAAUUCCAGCAGACAGUGAUGAAGCUGACUCUGACACUAUUGAUCGUCGCAGUCCUAAAGUCGACUUGGAUGGCAAUCCAUUAAACAAGAAGCGCAAGUGUGCAUCAUCAUCACCUUCCAAGAAGCCAACCAAGGGCAAAGCAAACAAGAAGGGCAAGGUAUCUAAUGAUGAUAUGGUAACCAGUAUCAAGAAGCUAGCUGAAUCCCUUGCAUCCCCUAUUGUGUCUGUGCAACCAAUGCCACCUGCAGAUCCUUAUGCAAAUCUUUGGAAGCGGAUCAAUGCCCUUACCAUCCCAGCUAAGGAUAAACUUGAGAUUGUUGCCUAUCUAUCCAAGCCAGACCAAGAUAUCUUUCGUAGUUAUCUUAACUAUGCCGAUGAAACAAUUCUUCGAGAGUGGGUCAUUAGCUACUUUGAGCCUCAGUUUCAUGAAGGUGGCAAUGAUGGAUCUGCGGCUGCUCACUGAAUUGCCACAUGGUUAGAUAGAGUUUGUGGCAACCUUUUGUUUAUAUGGCUAGGAACGCUUUAACACGUAGUGGGAGCAUGGAUAACAUCAUCAUGCAUAUUUUGUCUAUAUACAGCAAACUUGGGUGCAUCAUGUACUGUUUGUAUGGAGUGCAUUUGGUGCAUGGCUGGCUGUUUAUGUCCUAGAUGGUAUGGUAAAGGAUGUGAACCUUAUUCCGUCUAUCAUGUAUCAGACAAUAUAUGAGCUACUUAAUGUAUGAGUUUAAUUCUGAAGUUCUGAAAAUGCAGAGUUUGUGUGCAUAUGUGUGUUGGUUAAUUCAAAUUUUUAUUUUUUUGUAGCAUGUGAUAUGUGACUGCUUGUUUACACACAAGCGUUCUUUUAUUUGGCUGGCAUGCAAUUUUCAAAUUUUGAAACCAAACCAAACACAUGCCAGUCAAAUGUGCCAAAUAUUUGGCUUCAAACCAAAUGACAUCCAAUGGUUUUGCCAAAAAAUUGGCAAGUACUAAUGGCUACAAUCCAAACAGCCAUGACUUGCCAAUUUUUUGGUCAUGCCCUGGAAUUGGUGAUGCCAAUUAUUUGGUAGGGCAAGAUUGGGCUCAAUCCAAACAGCCCCUUAUAUAGGGGCGUCGCCUCCGCCCCGCCCCGCCCCGGCGAGGUCGGUCGGUCGUUCGGUUUUCAGGCGAUCCGCGCCGUCCGUAUCGCCCGCCUGGAUGCGUGGCGUGCCGGCACCGUGGGACGCAUUCGGGUGGGCCACCCGUGCUCCCCCGCGCCGGGGCCCGCCCCAUUAUCCACGCAUGGCACCCGUACGUGACGUGUUUGGUGCUGAAGUUGCGCAGGUGCGGGGCGUGUGACGGACCGCCGUGGCCGUGCUGCUACACGGCGGUCGGGACGGGGGUCUCGCCGAGGCGGCGCGGCCGUGUCGUAUCUGCCGGCCACCCGACGGGCCGACGGGCCGGUGCACCCUUUGCUUAGCCUGAGUUUGACGCCAUUGGAAAACGGGACAGGUUGUUGAUUGUCGGGGAAUCUGAAAAUCACGUCAAAUCAAUCGCCGUAUGCCUAUUCGAUAGUACUACUACUGUACAUGAGGCUCCCCUAAUUAACGACAACUUCGUUCCUGUAAACCGCUCCUGAAUGUACCUAAAAAAAAAAAC